rnacentral:rRNA from 1 species
GGAUAACCUGCCCUAUUGUCUGGAAUAACCUCGGGAAACUGAGAACAAGGCCGGAUAACCCACAAUGCCUGGAACGGUUUGUGGGUGAAGAUAGGAUGGGUCUGCGGCGUAUCAGGUCGUAGGGGGUGUAAUGGACCUCCUAGCCAUCGACGCGUACGGGUGUUGGGAGACAUAGCCCGGAGAUGGAUUCUGAGACACGAAUCCAGACCCUACGGGGUGCAGCAGGCGCGAAAACUUCACACUGCAGGAAACUGUGAUGAGGGAACUCCAAGUGCAUCCACUAUGUGGAUGCUUUUUUUGACUAUUAAUCGGUCAACGAAUAAGGGCUGGGAAAGACCGGUGCCAGCCGCCGCGGUAAUACCGGCAGCUCAAGUGGUCGUCGCUUUUAUUGGGCCUAAAACGUCCGUAGCCUGUUUGGUAAAUCUGUGGGUAAAUCAACCAGCUUAACUGGUUGAAUUCUGCAGAGACUGCCAGACUAGGGACCGGGAGAGGUGUGGGGUACUCUAGGGGUAGGGGUAAAAUCCUGUCAUCCUUAGAGGACCACCAGUUGCGAAGGCGCCACACUGGAACGGAUCCGACGGUCAGGGACGAAGCCUAGGGGCACGAACCGGAUUAGAUACCCGGGUAGUCCUAGGUGUAAGCGCUGUGAACUUGGUGUCGGGGAUCCGCAAUGGGUCCUCGGUGCCGGAGUGAAGAUGUUAAGUUCACUGCCUGGGGAGUACGGUCGCAAGGCUGAAACUU